rnacentral:rRNA from 1 species
GGGUAAUUAAAUUAUUAUAAAUAAAAAUUCACGAAUUAGAUCGAGCUAAGUAUUAAGGGUUUUAGUCUGUGCCCUAAAUGUAGCAAAAUUUAGAUAAGAUUAUUACUUAGGGGUGAAAGGCCAGCAAGAACUAAGAUAACUUGAUUUCCUUGAAAAGUAUUUAGUACAACUACAAAUACGCAGUGGUCAGGCUUCGUAUAAAUACUAAUAGUCUCAAAUUAGUUAAACAGAGUUUAAUAAUUAGUUUACAAUAAAAAUUAAAUAUACAUAUAGAUAUAUUUGUAUGUAUUAAAGGACUGUGGGGGAACUAUGGGCCCUAUUAUUAAUGUUACCAUAAGUAUUAUAGAAACUCUUUAGAAAGAACUCGGCAACACUUCCCUCAACUGUUUAACAAAAACAUAGCUAUGAGGUUUUAUUCAUAGUUCUCCUGCCCGGUGAAAAUUAAACGGCCGCAGUACCUUGACUGUGCAAAGGUAGCAUAAUCAAUUGGCUCAUAAUUGGAGUCUAGUAUGAAUGAAAGAAUGGGGGGAUACUGUUUCCUAAAGAAAAUAAGAAGUUAAUUAUCAAGUGAAAAUGCUUGAAGAAAAAUAAUAGACGAGAAGACCCUAGAAAUUUUGAUAAAUAUAAUAUAUAUUAUAGAGAUAUUAUUGGUUUUUGUUGGGGCGACAAAAUAACAUAAAAACUUAUUUACUAAGAUUAGAAAUUUUUUAAUUGAACAAUUAAAUUACUCUAGGGAUAACAGCAUAAUAUUUUAAAGUUUGUGACCUCGAUGUUGGACUAGGGAAUUCAAGCCUAGAA